GAUGAACGCUGGCGGCGUGCCUAAUACAUGCAAGUCGAGCGAACAGAUGAUGAGCUUUCUCCUUUGACGUUAGCGGCGGACGGGUGAGUAACACGUGGAUAACCUACCUAUUAGACGGGGAUAACUUCGGAAAACCGGAGCUAAUACCGGAUAAUAUAUUGAACCGCUGGGUUCAAUAGUGAAAGACGGUUUUGCUGUCUCUUAUAGAUGGAUCCGCGCCGCAUUAGCUAGUUGGUAAGGUAACGGCCUACCAGGGCAACGAUGCGUAGCCGACCUGAGAGGGUGAUCGGCCACACUGGAACUGAGACACGGUCCAGACUCCUACGGGAGGCAGCAGUAGGGAAUCUUGCGCAAUGGGCGAAAGCCUGACGGAGCAACGCCGCGUGAGUGAUGAAGGUCUUCGGAUCGUAAAACUCUUUUAUUAGGGAAGAACAAAUGUGUAAGUAACUCUGCACGUCUUGACGGUACCUAAUCAGAAAGCCACGGCUAACUACGUG
rnacentral:rRNA from 1 species